UACGUAGGGGGCAAGCGUUGUUCGGAUUUACUGGGCGUAAAGGGCGCGUAGGCGGCUUAACAAGUCACUUGUGAAAUCUCCGGGCUUAACUCGGAACGGCCAAGUGAAACUGUUAUGCUAGAGUGCAGAAGGGGCAAUCGGAAUUCUUGGUGUAGCGGUGAAAUGCGUAGAUAUCAAGAGGAACACCUGAGGUGAAGACGGGUUGCUGGGCUGACACUGACGCUGAUGCGCGAAAGCCAGGGGAGCAAACGGG
rnacentral:rRNA from 1 species